GAUGAACGCUGGCGGCGCGCCUAACACAUGCAAGUCGAACGAUUAAAGCACCUUCGGGUGUGUAUAAAGUGGCGAACGGCUGAGUAACACGUGGGCAACCUGCCCCUCUCAUUGGGAUAGCCACGGGAAACCGUGGAUAAUACCGAAUACUUCGGGACUUCCGCAUGGAAGACUCGAGAAAGCUCCGGCGGAGAGGGAUGGGCCCGCGGCCUGUUAGCUUGUUGGUGGGGUAAUGGCCUACCAAGGCAAUGAUGGGUAGCUGGGUUGAGAGACCGACCAGCCAGAUUGGGACUGAGACACGGCCCAGACUCAUACGGGAGGCAGAAGUGGGGAAUCUUGCACAAUGGGCGAAAGCCUGAUGCAGCGACGCCGCGUGCGGGAUGAAGGCCUUCGGGUUGUAAAACGCUUUCAGCAGGGACGAGGCGAAAGUGACGGUACCUGCAGAAGAAGCCCCGGCUAACUACGUG
rnacentral:rRNA from 1 species